rnacentral:rRNA from 1 species
GAUGAACGCUGGCGGCGUGCCUAAUACAUGCAAGUCGAGCGAACAGACGAGGAGCUUGCUCCUCUGACGUUAGCGGCGGACGGGUGAGUAACACGUGGAUAACCUACCUAUAAGACUGGGAUAACUUCGGGAAACCGGAGCUAAUACCGGAUAAUAUAUUGAACCGCAUGGUUCAAUAGUGAAAGACGGUUUUGCUGUCACUUAUAGAUGGAUCCGCGCCGCAUUAGCUAGUUGGUAAGGUAACGGCUUACCAAGGCGACGAUGCGUAGCCGACCUGAGAGGGUGAUCGGCCACACUGGAACUGAGACACGGUCCAGACUCCUACGGGAGGCAGCAGUAGGGAAUCUUCGGCAAUGGGCGAAAGCCUGACGGAGCAACGCCGCGUGAGUGAUGAAGGUCUUCGGAUCGUAAAACUCUGUUAUUAGGGAAGAACAAAUGUGUAAGUAACUAUGCACGUCGUGACGGUACCUAAUCAGAAAGCCACGGCUAACUACGUG